CGGCGACGAUGCCCGCCGGGUAUCAAGAUCAUGCCACAAAUGCCAACAAUUUGCUGACAUCCCGCAUGCACCGGCGGAACCACUAUCGGUCAUCAUCGCUCCAUGGAUCCACUCAACUUGGGGCCUGGAUCUGAUGGGAAAAUUUCAAACCGCCAAGGGCCAGUUCAAGUACAUCAUAGUGGCUAUCGACUACGACAGCAAGUGGAUAGAGGCGGAACCACUAACAGCAAUAACUACCGCCAAGGUAAUUCACUUCCUCUGGAAGAACAUCUACUGCCGUUACGGUGUCCCACACACGAUAAUCACCGACAAUGGCACACAGUUCAACAACAAGGAGCUCAUCUCUUUCACCGCC
rnacentral:lncRNA from 1 species